AUAAUUAACUACACCUAAUUAAUUAAAUAAUACAUCCUAAGGAGAAAUGUGAUGAGAAAGAAAAUUAGCCUCAUUUUGGUUGCCUUUUUAUCUGUC
rnacentral:ncRNA from 1 species